UACGUAGGGUGCAGGCGUUAAUCGGAAUUACUGGGCGUAAAGCGUGCGCAGGCGGUUUCUUUAGGCAGAUGUGAAAGCCCCGGGCUUAACCUGGGAACUGCGUUUGAAACUGGGAGACUUGAGUGUGGCAGAGGGGGGUGGAAUUCCACGUGUAGCAGUGAAAUGCGUAGAUAUGUGGAGGAACACCGAUGGCGAAGGCAGCCCCCUGGGUUAACACUGACGCUCAUGCACGAAAGCGUGGGGAGCAAACAGG
rnacentral:rRNA from 1 species